GAAAGUAAUUGCACGGAGAGCUCAGAAUAUACACCUAUUCUUGAUGAAAACAUAGCAAACAGAGAGGCCAAAUAUUCUGAACAUACACAGAAAUUAACCCACAACGAAACAAGUCAACAAAUGGUGGUAACUGAGGACGAGGAAUUGGCACAAACACCCGGCACGGAAGGGCUUCAAACUAUAGAGGACAAUCUAACAAUGCCCGUGCAUAUAAAGAAACAUAUACGACGGCAUAACAAGCCUAAGAUAGCACGAGACUAUGUUGUUUCUCCACAAGAUUAUGCCUACACUGGUGAUGAUUGGUCCGUUAUACAAAAUAUCAGAUCCGAAACCAGCAAAGAAAGAAAUUUAGUGAGCAUCGGCGACGCAUUUCUGAAAAAAGACAUUUACUAUCUCUUAUAA
rnacentral:rRNA from 1 species